rnacentral:rRNA from 1 species
GACGAGGGGUCCUAGCGUUGUUCGGAAUUACUGGGCGUAAAGCGUAUGUAGGCGGCUUUUUAAGUCGGGUGUGAAAUCCCAUGGCUCAACCAUGGAAUUGCAUUCGAAACUGGAGAGCUUGAGUGCGGGAGAGAUUGGUAGAAUACCUAGUGUAGUGGUGAAAUACGUAGAUAUCAGGUGGAAUACCGGUGGCGAAGGCGGCCAAUUGGCCCAACACUGACGCUGAGAUACGAAAGCGUGGGGAUCAAACAGG